UGCGAGAGACAUAAGAGUACACGGUGGAUGCCUUGGCCUAGGAUGGCUAUGAAGGACGCGACUAACCUGCGAAAAGCUUCGGGGAGGCGGUUUGUAGCCUUUGAUCCGGAGAUAUCCGAAUGGGGAAACCCUGCAGUUUUGAACUGUAAUCCGCGAGGUAACGCUUGCGCGAGGCGAACCCUGGGAAGUGAAACAUCUCAGUACCAGGAGGAAAAGAGAACAAUAUGAGUUGCGUUCAACUGGCGCGUAUGUUCGUGCCAGGUGAACGCGACUCUCGUGAUACCCCGAGUAGCGGCGAGCGAAAAGGGGAAAGCCCAAACCCCGUUCUUCGGAAUGGGGGGUUGUAAGAUGCGAACGUCCAGCCCCAGUUUUGCAAAAAACUGGGGCUGGGGAAGAGUUAUCAAUCGUCUAUAUAGCGGAAGUUGCUGGGAAGCAACGCCCCAGAGGGUAAUGGCCCCGUACGCGAAAUGUAUGACGACUCUUGUUUGUAUUCUUGAGUAGCUCCAGACACGAAUAGCUGGAGUGAAUCUGCCGGAACUAACCGGUAAGGCUAAAUACAUCCUAUGACCGAUAGUGAACUAGUACCGUGAGGGAAAGGUGAAAAGAACCCCGAGAGGGGAGUGAAAUAGACCUGAAACCGUGUACUUACAAGGGGUCGGAGCGGAUGACGCAAGUCAUUCCGUGACGGCAUGCCUAUUGAAGAAUGAGCCGGCGAGUGUGUGUAUCUUGCAUAGCUAAGCCCUUCCGGGGCGGAGCUUAAGGGAAACCGAGCGUGAAUAGCGCAUCAGUAGGAUACAUACGACCCGAAGCCAGAUGAGCUUGCCAUGAGCAGGGUGAAGUAUUACGAAAGUAGUAUGGAGGCCCGAACCCGUAGAUCGUUCAACGUCUUGGGAUGACUUGUGGUAAGGAGUGAAAAGCUAAUCGAAUCUGGGAAUAGCUGGUUCUCUCCGAAACAGCUUUUGGGCUGGCGUCGCCAUAUGUGCACCGGGGGGUAGAGCACUGGAAGGGACCAACAGGGAGAAAUCUCGUGGUUCCUAUCAAACUCCGAAUACCAUACGUUCAGGCGGCAGUUAGAAGGUGGGGGCGAAGCUCCAUCGAUCGAGAGGGGAAGAGCCCUGAUCGCCAAUU
rnacentral:rRNA from 1 species